AUCUGUUAGGGAGGCCCAGCACUGAUGAUGACAUGAAGGGAUUAGGAGGAGUAAAUCUAGCUGGUCUAAACCAAUUGUUCCAAAGUUAAAAAUCAAAUCCUCCUAUAAUACGCAGAGAGCAGUGGUGGAGGGAAAAGUGAACCCCUGUUCAUUAGAAGGUUAUAUAAACAGUAACUCAUCCAUGGAAGUAAUAUCUUUAUUUAUACCGUUUCCAUUCCAUAUUAUGGAGUGUCCUAGGUUCUGACCAAUAGCUAUUUUUUUAAAGUGAAGUAUCAUUAAACUACAUUUAAACCCCAUUAAAGAACCUAUGGCACUAUAUUUCAGGUUUAUUUAUGGAGUACCAUACUCUGAGAAUAUAUGAGUACUUUCCAAAAAACACAGUAAGGGAUGCAGUGGUAACGCCCCCGAGAGACUUGGGUUAUCACAGAUUUUUCACAAAGUGGAGAAUGUCUAUGUCUAUUGACACAAGGUGCAGCUACAGCAUUCAUUCAGUCCCAGGGCAUGCAUUGGAUGUGAACAUCUCCUGAGUAGCAUAAAGGCCUACAUCUCUGUACCACAUAACGAGGACCGGCACAUAGGAAUUCAAGAGUUCACUGAGAUAUGUGUAACCAAAUUGGCAGAGAGCUUGAGCAAAAGCUUGGAAGCCAAAGCUUGGAAGCCAGGG